CCUACGGGGCGCUGCAGUGGGGAAUAUUGGACAAUGGGGGGAACCCUGAUCCAGCCAUGCCGCGUGUGUGAAGAAGGCCCUCGGGUUGUAAAGCACUUUCAGUGAGGAAGAACGCCUGGUGGUUAAUACCCAUCAGGAAAGACAUCACUCACAGAAGAAGCACCGGCUAACUCCGUGCCAGCAGCCGCGGUAAUACGGAGGGUGCGAGCGUUAAUCGGAAUUACUGGGCGUAAAGCGCGCGUAGGUGGCUUGAUAAGCCGGUUGUGAAAGCCCCGGGCUCAACCUGGGAACGGCAUCCGGAACUGUCAAGCUAGAGUGCAGGAGAGGAAGGUAGAAUUCCCGGUGUAGCGGUGAAAUGCGUAGAGAUCGGGAGGAAUACCAGUGGCGAAGGCGGCCUUCUGGACUGACACUGACACUGAGGUGCGAAAGCGUGGGUAGCAAACAGGAUUAGAUACCCCUGUAGUC
rnacentral:rRNA from 1 species